AAGAGAAAGAAAGGAAGAGAAAGAGAGAGAAAAUGAAUAAAUCAAUAACCUAUCAACUUUAGAAGAAGAGAAUCUGCUAGUGAACGCUAUGUCCUGACAGCAGUGGCUUGAGAAACACUGUCCACUGAACAUUUGAGGUUGCUUCUGUUUGGUCUUUCUGAAGAGCUCUUUGGCUAGAUGUCCAAACCCUUUAAAAUAUGCAAUUUAUCAAUAAAGUUGAUUUAAAGA